rnacentral:rRNA from 1 species
UACGUAGGCAGCAAGCGUUGUUCGGAGUUACUGGGCGUAAAGGGUGCGUAGGUGGCUCUAUAAGUAUGGUGUGAAAUCUCCCGGCUUAACUGGGAGGGUGCGCCGUAGACUGUGGGGCUAGAGUGUGGGAGAGGAAAGUGGAAUUCCUGGUGUAGCGGUGAAAUGCGUAGAUAUCAGGAGGAACACCGGUGGUGUAAAACGGCU